rnacentral:rRNA from 1 species
UACGUAGGGUGCAAGCGUUGUCCGGAAUUAUUGGGCGUAAAGAGCUCGUAGGCGGUCUGUCGCGUCUGCUGUGAAAACUCGGGGCUUAACCCCGGGCCUGCAGUGGGUACGGGCAGACUAGAGUGCGGUAGGGGAGACUGGAAUUCCUGGUGUAGCGGUGAAAUGCGCAGAUAUCAGGAGGAACACCGGUGGCGAAGGCGGGUCUCUGGACAGUUCCUGACACUGAGGCACGAAGGCCAGGGGAGCAAACGGG